AAGAAAUACUUGGAGGGGAAGAAUACUUUGGACAAUGCCGUUCAGUUGUCACGUAAGAAAACUAUGCUAAAGGAAUAUGAGAAAAAUCUGGAUGAGGCAGAAAUUAAAAAUCUGUUUGAGGAAGAAUUGGUAA